AAGCCGUGUAUAUGUUUGUAUAUUUUCUUAAAAGACCAGGUUAACAAAAUAAUAUUUGAAAUGUAUCGUUAUUUUUUAAUUUGCUGCAGCGGCAAAAAAGAGUUACCACUGUUGCCUCUCGCUGUCGUUCAGUACCCUUUUCUUUUUAGGGUUUGAAAUUCAAUCUAAGCCCUUAUUGUCUCAUUCAAAUCUUCAUUUUUCUUUUUCUUUUGAAAUUGUAGAAAAAUUUCACCGAAAGUUCUAAAUCAUGGAACGAUUUGUCAUUGUGGAAAGAAAGCACCAAUAUGUAGUUCUAAUAGACCUUGGGGCUUGGAGUAAAGGGAAGAAUUUCUUGGGAUGUUCAAACUACAAAGGUGCUGGCCGUGAUGGAUGAGCUUUGGAGGGUGGAUUGAUUGUUUGAGAUGAAGCUGUAUUUCUGGGAAGACAGUAAAUAUUCCAAGAUCCAGUAAUGAAACAAUAUAAAAACAUUACAUGUUAUGAGGGUAAGUAAAUCACAUCAGUUGCUGAGCAUGGGUGGCUGAACAAUAUCUUCCAUGGCAGCCUAAAAGACGCUUAGAUAUUGUCAUUUUAUAUAAUGUUUAAAAGUCAACAUAUUAAAUAAGGGUAAUCUGCAAAAA